AUGACAUUACCCAGCAUACUGAUUGGCCAACACGCAGUUGAAUUUUUCGUAUAAAACGAGACGAUUAAAACGUAAAAGAAUCACACAUUCAUCAACUCUCUUUGCAGUUGCAUCUCAUCUCAAAUCUUCACUCAAAAUGAAAUUCUUGGCUGUUCUAGUUGCCUUGGUUGCAAUCUUUGCCUGCGUGAUGGCUCAGGGUUACAAUGACAACGGCAAUCGGGGCUCUUCGCCGUACGGCGCACCGUCUGCACCUGCUCCGGCAUACUCCGGUGGUGCUGCUCCGAGCCCAUACGGACCUCCUGCCCCUGUUCCCAAUCAAUACCCAGCUC